CCGUGCGGUACGCUGAAGUGCGCCCUCAAGCGGUUAUGAGACGCGCGUGUACUGUAACCAUGGAAGGCGCCAUGUUCGCACAUGUUUUGGCGAAAUUCCCGCAGUGAAAUGCCAAGAUUCUUGCUAAAAGUCAACUGUUAGUUUGACAUUGAUUGAAAUCCUACAGCUUGUGGCUCUCAGGUGUACCCUGAUAUUUUGGGGAUUAACAUUGAUCCGUAUUUUUGCUGCCUGGACAGUCACAGUCUGGAACUCUGCUCCACAUCUUGAGUGGAUCAAGCCGUUGGUGACUGGACUGGCCACAUGUGAGUUUACACAUGUUACAAUCUUCACAAGGACAGGAAUUACAUGUACAUGUAUGCUGUCUGCAUAAGGUGAACUACCGUGGGAGCAUCCCUCACAACAGUCUAUCUCCAAGCAGGAGGGAUCUUGUGAAGGAACCGUUUACUGUGUAGCGUAUACAGUGACGUUGAACUGUGGUUUCGCCGGAACUCCACGAAGUGAAGAGAACUGAACUGACUAGUCAAUCAACAUUUUUGGAUUGGGACUUGAUAGCCUUAGAGUGACAUCAAGAGUCUCAAAUAUCCUUGUUAGAAUAUAUUUAGGGCCCUAAUAUUGUCUGUAUACCGGUAUUUUGUUUUUGUCAGAAAGAUAAAUGGUUGUUUAUUCAUAAAGUGUCAUCGUUGACCUAAACAUUUACAUGUAGGCCUACUUAAAGUUUUUCUUGAUUAUCAUCAUCAGCGCUGGUGUUAUAGAUUUUUGAUCUAGAGUUCCGUCCAAGUUUUCAAAUUAAAGAUUUUCUAGUUCAGUACAAUU